rnacentral:rRNA from 1 species
UCGCAAUGGCUUGCGAUGGCUCGAUGGUGCUACCAACAAACCGCGCGCGGCCAUGCCGUCAGUGCCGGAAAAGCGGCAUAGGCCAUCAACAGCACGCCAGCCAAAACAGCGGCCGCCACCGCCACUCGAUCCGAUUUGGCGGCAACAACCGCUGAUAAAAAUCUUGACCAAUGAGGGUGUACAUCACCGUGGGCAACACC